UACGGGAGGGGGCGAGCGUUAUUCGGAAUUAUUGGGCGUAAAGGGCGCGUAGGCGGCUUGAUAAGUCAAAGGUGAAAUCCCUCGGCUCAACUGAGGAACUGCCUUUGAAACUGUCUGGCUUGAGGCCGGGAGGGGGUAGCGGAAUUCCCAGUGUAGCGGUGAAAUGCGUAGAUAUUGGGAGGAACACCGGUGGCGAAGGCGGCUACCUGGACCGGUUCUGACGCUGAUGCGCGAAAGCGUGGGUAGCAACAGG
rnacentral:rRNA from 1 species